AUUGAACGCUGACGGCAGGCCUAACACAUGCAAGUCGGACGGUAGCACAGAGAGCUCGCUCUUGGGUGACGAGUGGCGGACGGGUGAGUAAUGUCUGGGGAUCUGCCCGAUAGAGGGGGAUAACCACUGGAGACGGUGGCUAAUACCGCAUAACGUCGCAAGACCAAAGAGGGGGACCUUCGGGCCUCUCACUAUCGGAUGAACCCAGAUGGGAUUAGCUAGUAGGCGGGGUAAUGGCCCACCUAGGCGACGAUCCCUAGCUGGUCUGAGAGGAUGGCCAUCCACACGGGAACUGAGACACGGUCCAGACUCCUACGGGAGGCAGCAAUGGGGAAUAUUGCACAAUGGGCGCAAGCCUGAUGCAGCCAUGCCGCGUGUAUGAAGAAGGCCUUCGGGUUGUAAAGUACUUUCAGCGGGGAGGAAGGCGGUGCGGUUAAUAACCGUACCGAUUGACGUUACCCGCAGAAGAAGCACCGGCUAACUCCGUGCCAGCCGCCGCUGUAA
rnacentral:rRNA from 1 species